UACGUAGGCAGCAAGCGUUGUUCGGAAUUACUGGGCGUAAAGAGUGUGUAGGCGGUGCUCCAAGUCUGGUGUGAAAUCUCCCGGCUUAACUGGGAGGGUGCAUUAGAAACUGGAAUGCUAGAGGAUGGGAGAGGUAAGCGGAAUUCCUGGUGUAGCGGUGAAAUGCGUAGAUAUCAGGAGGAACACCUGUGGUGUAGACAGCUUACUGGACCAUUUCUGACGCUGAUGCACGAAAGCUAGGGGAGCAAACAGG
rnacentral:rRNA from 1 species